GAUUUCUGACGAACCGGAGUGGCCCGUUCUCGAUUCCGAGUAUGAGUGCCGCUUUGAGUUUGUCAUCCUUCCAGAGAGCGGCGUCUACCGUUUAUUCGGCCGGAUGCUUGCGAUCUGGAUCUAUUACUUUGAAAAAAUUAGAGUGUUUCAAGCAGGCUUUAUGCUAUGAAUACAUUAGCAUGGAAUAAUAAUUUAGGACUUCGGUUCUAUUUUGUUGGUUUCUAGGACUGAAGUAAUGAUUGAUAGGGAUAGUUGGGGGUGCUAGUAUUCAGCGGCCAGAGGUGAAAUUCUCGGAUUCGCUGAAGACUAACUUAUGCGAAAGCAUU
rnacentral:rRNA from 1 species